rnacentral:rRNA from 1 species
AGAGUUUGAUCCUGGCUCAGGAUGAACGCUAGCUAUAGGCUUAACACAUGCAAGUCGAGGGGAAACGGCAUUAUGUGCUUGCACAUUUUGGACGUCGACCGGCGCACGGGUGAGUAUCGCGUAUCCAACCUGCCCUUUACUUGGGGAUACCCCGUUGAAAGACGGCCUAAUACCCGAUGUUGUUCAUUGAUGGCAUCUGAUUUGAACCAAAGAUUUAUCGGUAAAGGAUGGGGAUGCGUCUGAUUAGCUUGUUGGUGAGGUAACGGCUCACCAAGGCGACGAUCAGUAGGGGUUCUGAGAGGAAGGUCCCCCACAUUGGAACUGAGACACGGUCCAAACUCCUACGGGAGGCAGCAGUGAGGAAUAUUGGUCAAUGGACGGAAGUCUGAACCAGCCAAGUAGCGUGCAGGAUGACGGCCCUAUGGGUUGUAAACUGCUUUUGUUAGGGAGUAAAUGAAGGCACGUGUGCUUUUUUGCAUUUACCUUUCGAAUAAGGACCGGCUAAUUCCGUGCCAGCAGCCGCGGUAAUACGGAAGGUCCAGGCGUUAUCCGGAUUUAUUGGGUUUAAAGGGAGUGUAGGCGGUUUGUUAAGCGUGUUGUGAAAUUUAGGUGCUCAACAUUUAACUUGCAGCGCGAACUGGCGAACUUGAGUGCACACAACGUAUGCGGAAUUCAUGGUGUAGCGGUGAAAUGCUUAGAUAUCAUGAAGAACUCCGAUUGCGAAGGCAGCGUACGGGAGUGUAACUGACGCUUAAGCUCGAAGGUGCGGGUAUCGAACAGGAUUAGAUACCCUGGUAGUCCGCACAGUAAACGAUGGAUGCCCGCUGUUAGCGCCUGGCGUUAGCGGCUAAGCGAAAGCAUUAAGCAUCCCACCUGGGGAGUACGCCGGCAACGGUGAAACUCAAAGGAAUU